UGUAGUGUGAUCCUUCUAUUUAAAACGUAACUAUCAUAUGUUUACAAUACAAUAUUAAAUUACAAGUGUAUGCCUGACUGAAAUAGGUGAAACUGUGUCCUUGUUUGAAAUGGUGUAGAUAACUUGGGACCUAUCCAACAAGUGUGGUUUUUUUUUACAUUAUGAUAACUUAUCCGAUUGAAGACAUAAAUUUUCAACCAUAUUUAUGAUAUUUCAAUUGAAGAGAAGCACUUGAUGGGGUAUAUCAGGUGUGGGUUUUUUACAAUAUGAUCAAGUAUCCGAUAGAAGCCAAAUAUUAAUUCUGACUAUACCUGUUCUAUAUAACAACACUACAAAUGUUAUUAGUGUUACUAAUUCACACAGCUAUCCAGUUGACAGUAAGGGCCCAACAUAACCUUACACCAUAUGGCACAGCUAAUCAAAGUUCUGUGUUUGGUGGAAGUUUAAGUCAUCCACGAUAUGCAUUAUUGCCACCUAUAUCUAAUAAUUUUACUUUGGAUAUAUGCUCAACCACAAACGUAAAUAGUGGACCAAAAGCAUGGUGGAUGUUUCAAUUAUCUCUCGGAACUGCAUUUAUCACAGAUAUAACUAUUUACUACAGAGAAAAUUUUGCUUAUCGAAUGGAUGGAUUUAAAUUAUAUGUGACCAAUACAUCAACUAUUCCACCUAUAGGUUAUCUCUGUUAUGAAGAUCCUGGUCCCGGUCUUCCAAACCUCACUCAGACAAUUCCAUGUAAUCAACUUGGACAAUACGUCAUAUAUUAUGAUACUAAAGGAGACACAGCAUCCGGACCUGUGAUUGAAUUGUGUUAUGUUGCCAUUAAUGUUUAUCAACUUAUUUGCUAUGAAGGAGGAGGUAUGAUAUGAGCUAUGUUUUGGCCCCUGGAAUUAGUAAUCUUAUUCAAGACUUUCAAAAUAUAACAAUUUAUUUUUGAUAAAUGAACAAGUUAUUAUAAUCUGGACACUUUAGUGCUAAAUGGUAAUGUUAACUUGACGAAAUUUCCGUAUUGACUUUAAUUGGCCAUUCGCACAUACUUUUUGGUCAAAAUAUAUAUGAGCAACAGCUCUAUCCCAAAAAAACAUUUUCACACAUUAUCGUCUAGGUUAAACGCAUUUUGUAGCAAAAUAUCUUUUUGGGUAAUGCUGUUGCUCAUAUUAAUGCCAAGAUCUCAAAAUAAGGCUACGUUGGCAGUGUUUGCUGUAGUGUUUGCUGUAGUAUACUUAGUAAGAAGUUUUAGCAAUCUAUAAGACAAAAUUCAUAAACAUAAAUACAGAUUAAGUCUUAUGAAUAUUUGAAGAAUGAUUUGUGUAGAUUUAUAAUACUUUUUCAUAUUCAAAAUAAAGAGGUAAAAAAAGAGACUUUAUCAUACUUUCUCCUGUAUUUGUACCUAUCAUGUAUCUUUUGAUUUCUAAUUUAAGGGUUGUAUCGUCUUUCUAAUAAAAAAAACAAGUGUCCAAUCAGAAUUUAAAACAAGAGAAUAGUACAAUAAAUCAAUACCUUGU